rnacentral:rRNA from 1 species
AAUUAACGCUGGCAGAGUGCAUAACACAUGCAAGUCGAACGAGAAACCCCGGCUUGCCGGGGGAGUAAAGUGGCGCACGGGUGAGUAACGCGUGGGUAAUCUACCCUCGAAUUGGGGAUAACACAUCGAAAGGUGUGCUAAUACCGAAUAAGACCACGGUGGUUUCGGCCACUGGGGUCAAAGCUGGCCUCUGCCUCGAAGCUGUGGUUUGAGGAUGAGCCCAAGUCCCAUUAGCUUGUUGGUGGGGUAAGAGCCCACCAAGGCAACGAUGGGUAGCUGGUCUGAGAGGAUGGCCAGACACACUGGAACUGGAACACGGUCCGGACUCCUACGGGAGGCAGCAGUGAGGAAUUUUGCGCAAUGGGGGCAACCCUGACGCAGCAACGCCGCGUGAGUGAAGAAGGCCUUCGGGUUGUAAAGCUCUGUCAAGCGGGAAGAAACUUUUUCGGACGAAUAAUCCGAAAAAUUGACGGUACCGCUGAAGGAAGCACCGGCUAACUCCGUGCCAGCAGCCGCAGUAAGAC